rnacentral:tRNA from 1 species
UAGAAUAAAGCUCGCUGGAUAGAGUAUUUAGCUGUUAACUAAAUUUUUACGGGAUCGAGGCCCGUUUUUCUAG